GUCUAGGGCCAUACCACCCUGAACGCGCCCGAUCUCAUCUGAUCUCGGAAGCUAAGCAGGGUCGGGCCUGGUUAGUACUUGGAUGGGAGACAAUAUUUAUGAAGGGGUUAAUAUUAUCC
rnacentral:rRNA from 1 species